UACGUAGGGGGCUAGCGUUGUCCGGAAUCAUUGGGCGUAAAGAGCGUGUAGGCGGCCCGGUAAGUCCGCUGUGAAAGUCGGGGGCUCAACCCUCGAAUGCCGGUGGAUACUGUCGGGCUAGAGUCCGGAAGAGGCGAGUGGAAUUCCUGGUGUAGCGGUGGAAUGCGCAGAUAUCAGGAGGAACACCGAUGGCGAAGGCAGCUCGCUGGGACGGUACUGACGCUGAGGCGCGAAAGCGUGGGGAGCAAACAGG
rnacentral:rRNA from 1 species